rnacentral:rRNA from 1 species
CGGGUUAGUGGCGGACGGGUGAGUAACGCGUGAGAAUCUGCCCUCAGGAGGGGGAUAACGGCUGGAAACGGCCGCUAAUACCCCAUAUGCCGAGAGGUGAAAUGAGUAAUCGCCUGAGGAUGAGCUCGCGUCUGAUUAGCUAGUUGGUGGGGUAAGAGCCUACCAAGGCUUCGAUCAGUAGCUGGUCUGAGAGGAUGAUCAGCCACACUGGGACUGAGACACGGCCCAGACUCCUACGGGAGGCAGCAGUGGGGAAUUUUCCGCAAUGGGCGAAAGCCUGACGGAGCAACGCCGCGUGAGGGAUGAAGGCCUCUGGGCUGUAAACCUCUUUUAUCAAGGAAGAAGAUCUGACGGUACUUGAUGAAUAAGCCACGGCUAAUUCCGUGCCAGCAGCCGCGGUAAUACGGGAGUGGCAAGCGUUAUCCGGAAUUAUKGGGCGUAAAGCGUCCGCAGGCGGCCUUUUAAGUCUGUUGUCAAAGCGUGGAGCUUAACUCCAUUUCGGCAAUGGAAACUGGGAGGCUUGAGUGUGGUAGGGGCAGAGGGAAUUCCCGGUGUAGCGGUGAAAUGCGUAGAUAUCGGGAAGAACACCAGUGGCGAAGGCGCUCUGCUGGGCCAUAACUGACGCUCAUGGACGAAAGCCAGGGGAGCGAAAGGGAUUAGAUACCCCUGUAGUCCUGGCCGUAAACGAUGAACACUAGGUGUCGGGGGAAUCGACCCCCUCGGUGUCGUAGCCAACGCGUUAAGUGUUCCGCCUGGGGAGUACGCACGCAAGUGUGAAACUCAAAGGAAUUGACGGGGGCCCGCACAAGCGGUGGAGUAUGUGGUUUAAUUCGAUGCAACGCGAAGAACCUUACCAGGGUUUGACAUCCUGCGAACCCCUUGGAAACGAGGGGGUGCCUUCGGGAGCGCAGUGACAGGUGGUGCAUGGCUGUCGUCAGCUCGUGUCGUGAGAUGUUGGGUUAAGUCCCGCAACGAGCGCAACCCACGUCUUUAGUUGCCAGCAUUCAGUUGGGCACUCUAGAGAGACCGCCGGUGAUAAACCGGAGGAAGGUGUGGAUGACGUCAAGUCAUCAUGCCCCUUACAUCCUGGGCUACACACAUACUACAAUGCUACGGACAAAGGGCAGCAAACUCGCGAGAGCUAGCAAAUCCCAUAAACCGUGGCUCAGUUCAGAUCGUAGGCUGCAACUCGCCUACGUGAAGGAGGAAUCGCUAGUAAUCGCAGGUCAGCAUACUGCGGUGAAUACGUUCCCGGGCCUUGUACACACCGCCCGUCACACCAUGGAAGUUGGCCACGCCCGAAGCCGUUACUCCAACCCUUGUGGAGGAGGACGUCGAAGGUGGGGCUGAUGACUGGGGUGAAGUCGUAACAAGGUAGCCGUACCGGAAGGUGC